rnacentral:rRNA from 1 species
UGAGGAAUAUUGGUCAAUGGACGUGAGUCUGAACCAGCCAAGUCGCGUGAAGGAAGAAGGUUCUAUGGAUUGUAAACUUCUUUUAUACGGGAAUAAAGUGCGCCACGUGUGGUGUUUUGUAUGUACCGUAUGAAUAAGCAUCGGCUAACUCCGUGCCAGCAGCCGCGGUAAUACGGAGGAUGCGAGCGUUAUCCGGAUUAUGUGAUGAGCUAGGUUGUUUUAGUCAGCGGUGAAAGUUUGUGGCUCAACCAUAAAAUUGCCGUUGAAACUGGAAGACUUGAGUGUGUUUGAGGUAGGCGGAAUGCGUGGUGUAGCGGUGAAAUGCAUAGAUAUCACGCAGAACUCCGAUUGCGAAGGCAGCUUACUAAACCAUAACUGACACUGAAGCACGAAAGCGUGGGGAUCAAACAGGAUUAGAUACC